CUGAACUUAAGCAUAUCAAUAAGCGGAGGAAAAGAAACCAACAGGGAUUGCCUCAGUAACGGCGAGUGAAGCGGCAACAGCUCAAAUUUGAAAUCUGGCCCUAGGCCCGAGUUGUAAUUUGCAGAGGAUGCUUUUGGUGAGGUGCCUUCCGAGUUCCCUGGAACGGGACGCCAUAGAGGGUGAGAGCCCCGUCUGGUCGGACACCGAGCCUCUGUAAAGCUCCUUCGACGAGUCGAGUAGUUUGGGAAUGCUGCUCAAAAUGGGAGGUAUAUGUCUUCUAAAGCUAAAUAUUGGCCAGAGACCGAUAGCGCACAAGUAGAGUGAUCGAAAGAUGAAAAGCACUUUGAAAAGAGAGUUAAACAGCACGUGAAAUUGUUGAAAGGGAAGCGUUUAUGACCAGACUUGGCCCGGUUGAUCAUCCAGCGUUCUCGCUGGUGCACUCUGCCGGUCCAGGCCAGCAUCAGUUCGUCGCGGGGGAUAAAGGUUUCGGGAAUGUGGCUCCUCCGGGAGUGUUAUAGCCCGUUGCGUAAUACCCUGCGGUGGACUGAGGUCCGCGCUUCUGCAAGGAUGCUGGCGUAAUGGUCAUCAACGACCCGUCUUGAAACACGGACCAAGGAGUCGUCUUCGUAUGCGAGUGUUCGGGUGUAAAACCCCUACGCGUAAUGAAAGUGAACGCAGGUGAGAGCUUCGGCGCAUCAUCGACCGAUCCUGAUGUUCUCGGAUGGAUUUGAGUAAGAGCAUACGGGGCCGGACCCGAAAGAAGGUGAACUAUGCCUGUAUAGGGUGAAGCCAGAGGAAACUCUGGUGGAGGCUCGCAGCGGUUCUGAACGUGCAAAUCGAUCGUCAAAUAUGGGCAUGGGGGCSAAAGACUAAUCGAACCUUCUAGUAGCUGGUUUCCGC
rnacentral:rRNA from 1 species